AUGAAUGAACUUGGGCGUGGUUGUAGCUGGCCUCAGCGAUGGGGCAUGUGCACGCCGCGUUCAUCCACCCUUCACACCUCUGUGCACUUCUCAUGGGUCGGGUCGCGUCUGAAAUAUGGCGAAGCCCUUCUCAUGUGUUUUACCACACACUAUACAAGUUUUAGAAUGUAACAAUCGUGCAUUAAUGCAUAUAAUA
rnacentral:misc_RNA from 1 species